rnacentral:rRNA from 1 species
AUUGAACGCUGGCGGCAUGCCUUACACAUGCAAGUCGAACGGCAGCACGGGUGCUUGCACCUGGUGGCGAGUGGCGAACGGGUGAGUAAUACAUCGGAACAUGUCCUGUAGUGGGGGAUAGCCCGGCGAAAGCCGGAUUAAUACCGCAUACGAUCUACGGAUGAAAGCGGGGGACCUUCGGGCCUCGCGCUCAAGGGUUGGCCGAUGGCUGAUUAGCUAGUUGGGGGGGUAAAGGCCUACCAAGGCGACGAUCAGUAGCUGGUCUGAGAGGACGACCAGCCACACUGGGACUGAGACACGGCCCAGACUCCUACGGGAGGCAGCAGUGGGGAAUUUUGGACAAUGGGCGAAAGCCUGAUCCAGCAAUGCCGCGUGUGUGAAGAAGGCCUUCGGGUUGUAAAGCACUUUUGUCCGGAAAGAAAUCCUUGGCCCUAAUACGGUCGGGGGAUGACGUUACCGGAAGAAUAAGCACCAGCUAACUACGUG